rnacentral:rRNA from 1 species
GACAGAGGUUGCAAACGUUGUUCGGAUUUACUGGGCGUAAAGGGCGCGUAGGCGGCAAAUUAAGUCAGCUGUGAAAUCUCCGAGCUUAACUCGGAACGGUCAGCUGAUACUGAUCUGCUAGAGUGCGGAAGGGGCAAUCGGAAUUCUUGGUGUAGCGGUGAAAUGCGUAGAUAUCAAGAGGAACACCUGAGGUGAAGACGGGUUGCUGGGCCGACACUGACGCUGAGUGCGCGAAAGCCAGGGGAGCAAACGGG